AAGGAGCAGGCUUUCUUCCAUCUUCUAGAAUCUAGCUUUGAAGAGCUGUUGCGCAGCUGAAAAAAGGAUAUCCUGUAGCAAUGGUGGCAUCUACAGGGCACACUGAGAAUCUUCUGUUUGGUUCUUUUUUUCUUUUUAUUUUUUUCUAAGAGCUGGCUGUAAGGCAUGAUGGGGGUGGUGAUUGGUUUUCCACUGGAGUUCCUGAACAAAAGUGUAUAAAUCCACACGUGCAAGAUGAGACGUGCACAAGGUUAUUCAGUGGAGCAGUGUUCGGAAGUGCAAACACUCAAGAAUCAACCUAAAUGUUCAUCAUUCAUGGAGAACUGGUUUCCCUCACGUAGUGGAGAAUUCUAAACUCAUUAGAAGAACUAAGUUUCUUUAA